AUGGCGACCGGCGCACGGGUGAGUAACACGUAUCCAACCUGCCGAUAACUCGGGGAUAGCCUUUCGAAAGAAAGAUUAAUACCCGAUGGUAUAAUCAGACCGCAUGGUUUGAUUAUUAAAGAAUUUCGGUUAUCGAUGGGGAUGCAUUCCAUUAGGCAGUUGGUGAGGUAACGGCUCACCAAACCUUCGAUGGAUAGGGGUUCUGAGAGGAAGGUCCCCCACAUUGGAACUGAGACACGGUCCAA
rnacentral:rRNA from 1 species